rnacentral:rRNA from 1 species
UACGUAGGGGGCUAGCGUUGUCCGGAAUCAUUGGGCGUAAAGAGCGUGUAGGCGGCCCGGUAAGUCCGCUGUGAAAGUCGGGGGCUCAACCCUCGAAUGCCGGUGGAUACUGUCGGGCUAGAGUGCGGAAGAGGCGAGUGGAAUUCCUGGUGUAGCGGUGAAAUGCGCAGAUAUCAGGAGGAACACCGAUUGCGAAGGCAGCUCGCUGGGACGUAACCGACGCUGAGACGCGAAAGCGUGGGGAGCAAACAGG